AUGGCUGUCGUCAGCUCGUGUCGUGAGAUGUUGGGUUAAGUCCCGCAACGAGCGCAACCCUUGUCAUUAGUUGCCAUCAUUUGGUUGGGCACUCUAAUGAGACUGCCGGUGACAAACCGGAGGAAGGUGGGGAUGACGUCAAGUCCUCAUGGCCCUUAUGGGUAGGGCUUCACACGUCAUACAAUGGUCGGUACAGAGGGUUGCCAACCCGCGAGGGGGAGCUAAUCCCACAAAGCCGAUCGUAGUCCGGAUCGCAGUCUGCAACUCGACUGCGUGAAGUCGGAAUCGCUAGUAAUCGUGGAUCAGCAUGUCACGGUGAAUACGUUCCCGGGUCUU
rnacentral:rRNA from 1 species